ACUCACUACACUGACGGAAAAUUAGGGAUACGCGUUUGAAUAAUUUACACUUUUUAUUUUAUUUCGGCACUCAAGAACUCCAAAAUGUUUAUAGUUGUAUAAAGGAUCCUGUUAAUCCUAUGAAGUAACUAUUAAUAUUCAAUGGUUGUAUGCAAUCUGUGCUGUCCAGUGUUCCUUCUAGCUGGCACAAAGAUGUACGAGUUCGAAGUUAGUCGGAGCUGCCAUGUUCUUGCAAAUUUAUAAGCACCCCACAUCCUGUUUUCCUUUUGGCCGCGCAUUUUACGACAGUCCUGGGUAUACUGGGCAUCCUGGACGCCCGGGGGCUCCAGGACUCGGGCGUUAGAUUGAUGAUGCAGGUGAAUUACGCGCCGCUCAAGUGAUGUACGAGUAUGUAUGGCCAAUUCAGCUGGCUGGCUUUUAAUUGAAAACCGAAAUGACUUUUGGUCCGGAAAAAGCGGGCGUGGCUGUGUCUCGUUGAUUUUAUGCUAAUCCAUGCAACUCAGAAGCUGAGUGGCGCAAAGUCCAGCGCAAAGUUACCCAAGUCAUUGAAAUUCUGCAUAAAAUUAAGCGGCUCCAUCUCCCCUCGAAAAUGUCAAAGCAAAAUAAACAGUCUCUUCUUUUUUUUUUUUUUUUUGUCGACUGAU
ensembl:ncRNA lncRNA:CR45950 long non-coding RNA:CR45950